rnacentral:lncRNA from 1 species
AACGCUGUCUAACACCGGCCGUCGGAGAGCACCGGGAGACGACACACUGCAGAGCAAGGCAAGCAUUAACUGGCCCGACGCACAUCUCUUCUGCGUAGCAAUUAUUUCAAAUAAGAAAACUCAUCCGAUCCUUUGAGCUCAGCAGUUGCUAUUACUGAAGUCGGAGGCAAAACUUCCACUCGCUCCAGCAGAAGAAGGAGCCUGUUUCAUACAGCAAAUCCAUGUGUAUUGCCAUAUGUUGCUUUCUCUCCUUGUUCUGUUUUCCCUUUCAUCUCUAACUGCUUCAUCAAAGAAAAGUUGCUGAUCAUUGCAGCCACUCGGGGUGUUUGCACAAAGACAGUAACUCAAGCCCUGGAGUGUGCUGUUUUGGCAGUGUAGUCUAGGCACCGCUUGUUGUUUCAGCUGACCUCUUCCACAGCUUCUGCCCUGGUCUCUUCACUAUCUGCAGACUCACAGUCUCCAGUUCAUUGAACAACCACACGGCAAGAGCAUAACUCCUGUCUGAAGAUCUAAAAUAAAGAGUAAUGCUCCAUUCAAAGGCCCCUGAGUUUAAUCCCUCCUGAUUCACCAGGGAAGUUUACUGCACGCCCAACUUCAAGCUCACGCAGAAAUGCCCCUGAAUGAAAGAGCCUGUGAGUAUUUAAGUUCAGUGCUGCCUGGAAAUGGAGGCCAAUGUAUACGAAAACCCUUUUCUCUCUUGAACCUUUUGUAGACAAUGAAAACAGUGAAAACUCAGAAUUCAAGACUGAGGUGAUAGUUUCAUUCCUUCUCGCUUGGAAACUUUCAGAAGAACUUACGGGUCAUUUUGCCCUGUGUUUUUCUCGGUGUGGGUGUGGGUGUGCAAACCACACGUACAGCAUCAACCUGCAGUGAACUCAGAGUCACAAAAUUGGAAUUCUGCUGUUUCCAGCAUCUAAAACAUCAGUUCAGUUAUGGAACAGGAAGCUUUAUCACAGACCCUGCAGCUUUCCAGAGGGCUUAACUGCUUCUUUAGAGACAACCAAAAGACGGCAAAAGCAGUCCCCAAGCCAGGAGGAACAACUCUGCAAGAUCUCAGCUGUUCUGUGCCUUUGUGGAAAUGCUCAGCACGUGGGGAGAUCAGUGGAAGGGGAAAUGCGAGAGACUUCCAAAACUCAGAGAGCACAAAGACAACAAAACAGCAGCCGUGGACAGGACAGCACGGUACUUAGGAAAGCAGAACCUGUCAGCCAAGGCAAAGAUCUGAAUGAGCUGGGGUCUAG